UGUGUGGCGCCAGGCUCCAGCGGGUUCUUGGUGGGGGCUCCCUCUCUGCCAUAUUCUGCUGAUGGAGAAAUGGGAUCUCAUCCAAGGAAAGUGACUUGCCAGGGUUACACCACUGUUCUGGAUGUAAGAAGUCCAAAAUGUGUCUCACUGGGCAAAAUCAAGGUGUCCGCAGGACUGUUCCUUCUGGAGCCUCUGAGGGAGACUCUGUUUCCUUGACUUCUCCAGAUUUUCAAGGCCACCUGCAUUCCUUGGUCUGCGGCCCCUUCUCCAUCUUCAAAGCUAUCAGUGACCAGCCGAGUCUUUCUCACAUUGAAUCACUGCCACCUCUGCUUCUGUGGACACAUCUCCUUCUCUGCCUAACACUGUUUUCUCCCCAUCUCAAGACUCUUAAUAUAAUUAUAUCUUUAAAGUUCCUUUUGCCUUGCAAGGUAGCAGUUUCACAGGUUCCAGGGAUUAAGACCUGGACAUCUUUGAGGGGGAGGGAGCAUUUAUCAAAAACCAAAAACCCUAGGGCCUCAAACAAAACAUUUUUUAAAGAGAAAUAUAAAAGGUUCAACUCUUCUUCAAAUAAGUAACAUAGCAACUUUUUCUAUAAAUGUAACAAAUUCUGAAAAAAAAAAAAAAAAGAAAACUUUCAGUUCCUAACUACACCCAUAAAAAAUCAGACUCCCUGGUGUCAGGGAAGAAGAAACAAUGGGUGACAAUAAAUAGACUCCACAUAAAAGGGAAGGGAAAGGCUCCCUAGGUUGAGAAGUUAUGAUAUGUGCUUCACUGGGAAUGUAGGUACAGCCUUUGGAAAUGAUUAGUUGUUAACAGUUGUCCACAGCUCUUCAGCUGCUCUACUUUAUAAUCCUUUGUGCAGUAGAC